UUCCUUAUGCCACCCAAUCUUAAACCAAACGUUGCACCCUCGAUAAUCUGUAUGUUAUUCCCUGAUCACCAGAAACUUCUAUGUUUAAACUCUGUACCGUUCACUUUUUUUAACAUCAUCUUAAUACAAAUCUUUAAAUGUCUU